GACGAACGCUGGCGGCGUGCUUAACACAUGCAAGUCGAACGAAGAGCGAUGGAAGCUUGCUUCUAUCAAUCUUAGUGGCGCACGGGUGAGUAACGCGUAAUCAACCUGCCCUUCAGAGGGGGACAACAGUUGGAAACGACUGCUAAUACCGCAUACGAUCUAAUCUCGGCAUCCAGGAGAGAUGAAGGGUGGCCUCUACAGGUAAGCUAUCACUGAAGGUGGGUAUUGCGUCUGAUUAGCUAGUUGGAGGGGGAACGGCCCACCAAGGGGAUGAUCAGUAGCCGGUCUGGGAGGAUGGACGGCCACAUUGGGACUGGGACACGGCCCAGACUCCUACGGGGGGCAGCAGUGGGGAAUCUUUCGCCAUGGACGGAAGUCUGACGGAGCAACGCCGCGUGAGUGAUGACGGCCUUCGGGUUGUAAAGCUCUGUUUAUCGGGAAGAAAGGCCUUCUUGCGAAUAGUGAGAAGGAUUGACGGUACCGGAAUAGAAAGCCACGGCUAACUACGUG
rnacentral:rRNA from 1 species